rnacentral:rRNA from 1 species
AAGUCGAACGAUGAACCACUUCGGUGGGGAUUAGUGGCGAACGGGUGAGUAACACGUGGGCAAUCUGCCCUGCACUCUGGGACAAGCCCUGGAAACGGGGUCUAAUACCGGAUACUGACCCGCUUGGGCAUCCAAGCGGUUCGAAAGCUCCGGCGGUGCAGGAUGAGCCCGCGGCCUAUCAGCUUGUUGGUGAGGUAAUGGCUCACCAAGGCGACGACGGGUAGCCGGCCUGAGAGGGCGACCGGCCACACUGGGACUGAGACACGGCCCAGACUCCUACGGGAGGCAGCAGUGGGGAAUAUUGCACAAUGGGCGAAAGCCUGAUGCAGCGACGCCGCGUGAGGGAUGACGGCCUUCGGGUUGUAAACCUCUUUCAGCAGGGAAGAAGCGAAAGUGACGGUACCUGCAGAAGAAGCGCCGGCUAACUACGUGCCAGCAGCCG